AGGAAGUAGUAUAAUGGAAGUACGGAGAAUUUUGGGUUCUAUAGUGCAGGUUCGUAUCCUGUCUUUCUA
rnacentral:tRNA from 1 species